rnacentral:rRNA from 1 species
GUGAACGCUGGCGGUAGGCCUAACACCUGCAAGUCGAACGGCAGCACAGUAAGAGCUUGCUCUUACGGGUGGCGAGUGGCGGACGGGUGAGGAAUACAUCGGAAUCUACUUUUUCGUGGGGGAUAACGUAGGGAAACUUACGCUAAUACCGCAUACGACCUACGGGUGAAAGCAGGGGAUCUUCGGACCUUGCGCGAUUGAAUGAGCCGAUGUCGGAUUAGCUAGUUGGCGGGGUAAAGGCCCACCAAGGCGACGAUCCGUAGCUGGUCUGAGAGGAUGAUCAGCCACACUGGAACUGAGACACGGUCCAGACUCCUACGGGAGGCAGCAGUGGGGAAUAUUGGACAAUGGGCGAAAGCCUGAUCCAGCCAUACCGCGUGGGUGAAGAAGGCCUUCGGGUUGUAAAGCCCUUUUGUUGGGAAAGAAAAGAAGCAGGUUAAUACCCCGCUGUUCUGACGGUACCCAAAGAAUAAGCACCGGCUAACUUCGUG